GUUUCAAAUGGUUCUGCCAUCAAGCCCACGGCCCGCUCCUUCCUGCACAAAAAUGGUUACGCUCCAGAGAAGCCCUCAGAAAAAAAUCCAAAAUGAAAAUCAGCCAGUUUUAAAUACCUGGGCUUUCAACAGGGUGUCAUUUACUCAUAAGGCUUACAUAGACUCUUUCAAUUAUUUGAAGCUCUCCAGGAAGUUAUUCAACAGAAGAGCCAAAGACAGUGUGCAAAACUGAUCAAAUACACAUGUAACUGAGUGGACAGUGGAGUCACUUAAGCAAACAAUCUGGCCGUAUCUUUUCCUGUAUUUUUAUUUUAAGAAUGCAAUUUAUAGAUUUCCAGGAAAAACUAUCCAGUGUCUGACUAAUAUGCCUCUUGGCUAGUUUGCCAUCAUUCCAGGAGCCAUUUUCGUCUAAAUUCAAGUCAUUACCUGUGGCAAGACACUUAUGCAAAAAUUUAGCACAAAUGUUAACUGAAGCCAAUAUUCUGAAAUCUUGACAACGCCUAUCAGACCUUGGGGUCAGCCUCAGCCACAACGUGCAGUAGUGUAAAUGGAAAGAAUACAUUCUGGACAGGAUUCUCCAAGAGCCCCUCACAUGAAAAUGUGUCCCUGCUCCACACAGAAAAGCAGGCUGGAUGGACACGCAGUGUGUGUUUGGUGUGUAUUUACAAUGGGAGGGAAUGAGAAAAGUGGACAGAAACAGACCUCUGACCCCAAUGCGUCAGGGCAGAGCGAUCCCAGCACCCAGAUGGCUCCCCAGCUGGGCCCUGCGGCCACGGCACAGAGACCUGUCAGCCGAGGAGCUGGGACAGCUCAGGCUACUGAGGUUAGGAGGACUGGGCUGAGCAUUUUGGGGACCAAAGUGUAAUUGUCACUUAUUACGAGUAAUAAUAAUAAUUAUCAUUACAACUCUUACUUCUUGUGCACUUAUAUAUGUGCCAGGCACAGUAUUCCUCAUCUGACAUAAUACUCUCGAGCUUCACGACUGCAUGAGAUGACGGUGUAUUAUUAUUAUCCUUAUUUUAUGAAGAAAAUGGACUAACAGUUAAGCAACUUGCUCAAAAUGGCAUGGCAUUAAUAAGUUGCAGAAAUAGGAUUUGUCUGCAGAAGGACCUUUCCUUUAAACGGCUUAUUUGAGGAAGCUAGAUUUCAAGUCACAGCCCAGAACACAAAUACCAACGCUGAACAAAGUAAAGAGAAGUGAAUGGCAGUGCUGUGACGGAGACCUUGAAUUCUAUUCUGAAGAAAACUGGAGACAUUGUUAAAGGUCCACAGCCGCACAAUCUGUGUGAACGCACAAUCGUCUGCCCGAGCAAUCUUCAGGCACAACUUGGGGAAGGCAAGGAGAGGGGAAGAAGAGGCACCGGAGCAGUGGGAAGGAAAGGAAGGACCAUUACAACAUAGCACCUGCUGGCCUUCUAGUUCGGGGGGCGGACGGUCCUACCUAAUUCACAGCCGAUUUGUACGGCACUCACGUACAGAGUGGUACACUUUUUGAUGUUCCUCAUGAUUACCUGUACAAGUUAUUUUAACCUUGACAUGGGGCAGAUUUGGGUUUGAACUCUAGAUUUAACCGCACUACUUGUACGAUAAAAAUAAGCAGAGAUGUUACCUUUGUAGGACAUUGUGAGAACUCGGACAACACAUGCAAAGCACCAGCAUUUAGUGAUUCUUCAACACAAAUUACUUUCCUUCAAGGAAAUUUCUUCAGGAGGCAGAGAAAAGUGUGACAACCUAAAACAUUUUCUGUCUAGUUAAAAAUGUUAUCAGAUGUUGGCACUUAAAGGUGCCGGCACCAGUUAUUUGGCAAAUGUAACUUUGUAGACGCUUUCCUUUUCCAAUGCCUGGGAAACAGUUUUGGCCACUCAGAGCAUAGACUGACAAGGGGGAUUAUCUACUUAUUUAAAGGUAUAUUUUACUCCACAAGUAAGGUAAUAAACUUUUUGUGGAUAGGGGCUUUGUCCACGUAAUUACCUAAAUAGUGCCGGAUAAGUAAUAGCAAAAUUGUCCACACAAUAAAGGCGAAUUAGUAGGAGAGUUGGAAAAAAAUUUUAGGAAACUUCCAAACAAUUUAGGGUAAAGUAAGCCUUGUCCUCUCUCUUUGUAAACGGACUCAGAGUGGAAACAGGAGUCUCAGAAAAAUAAAUUGGAAUUAAAAAAUUGCUGAUUUAGAAGAUCUCUAAGAUGGGCUGAACGUUCUCAAAGAGAAAGAGCAGGAGGACCGGACACCCAGCCACUGGGGAUCUUAAAGGGAAAUUCUCCAGACAACCCCCAGAAGCAUUUACUCCUUGGAGCAUCCUUAGGAUGUGGGAAACAAAGGCAAAUGAAAAAUUCCCUUACUGCCUGCAGCCCAUUGACAAGUCCUUGAAACAGGCAGAGUGACCUCCCUCUAGGAGCUCGGCUGCCUCGACGAUGGUGACACUUUGCUCAGGCCAAAAGGCAACCUUAGCUUAACAUUAUGUCGACACCUCCUCCCCCCCCCCCCCCCCCCCCCCGCAUCCUUUAAGUCUACUUUAACAUAUAAAUAUUCCUUUGGAAAUUUCCUUUAUCUCUACCCGCUUCCCCAUAUAUGUUGGCAAUCAUCCUCCAAGCUUAUGGCCCCCAACAUACAUCUGAAGGUCUCAUGACUGAACUUUUACUAAACAGUAAUAAAUGACCUUUUCCUAACAACAGCUAGCCCCUCAAGGUCCUGGAAACCUUGCUUCCAAAAUUCCUUAGAGACUCUCGCUGUCCCUAACCCCCUCCCAAACUGAAGGUUUAUAAUCAGUCACCCAUCAUAACCUCAGAGCAGCUUUCUGCCCAUGGGUCCUGUCCCUGUGCUUUUAAUAAAAUCACCUUGUUGCACCAAA